rnacentral:rRNA from 1 species
UGGGGAAUUUUCCGCAAUGGGCGAAAGCCUGACGGAGUGACGCCGCGUGGGGGACGAAGGCCUUCGGGUCGUAAACCCCUGUCAGAGGGAAAGAAGGGUGUCGGCGUGAAUAGCGCCGGCAUUUGACGGUACCUUCAGAGGAAGCCCCGGCCAACUCUGUGCCAGCAGCCGCGGUAAGACAGAGGGGGCAAGCGUUGCUCGGAAUCACUGGGCGUAAAGGGCGCGUAGGCGGGAUGGCAAGUCGGUCGUGAAAUCCUUCGGCUCAACCGAAGAACGUCGGCCGAUACUGCCGUUCUUGAGGGAUGCAGAGGAGAUUGGAAUUCCCGGUGUAGCGGUGAAAUGUGUAGAGAUCGGGAGGAACACCGGUGGCGAAGGCGGGUCUCUGGGCAUCUCCUGACGCUGAGGCGCGAAAGCGUGGGGAGCAAACG